rnacentral:rRNA from 1 species
CCCGGGCCUUGUACACACCGCCCGUCACACCAUGGAAGCUGAUUCAACCAGAAGACGAUUAGGCUAACCGUAAGGGGGCCGUCGGCCAAGGUGGGGUCGGUGACUGGGGUG